rnacentral:rRNA from 1 species
GAUGAACGCUGGCGGCGUGCCUAAUACAUGCAAGUCGAGCGAACGGAUGAGAAGCUUGCUUCUCUGAUGUUAGCGGCGGACGGGUGAGUAACACGUGGAUAACCUACCUAUAAUACUGGGAUAACUUCGGGAAACCGGAGCUAAUACCGGAUAAUAUUUUGAACCGCAUGGUUCAAAAGUGAAAGACGGUCUUGCUGUCACUUAUAGAUGGAUCCGCGCUGCAUUAGCUAGUUGGUAAGGUAACGGCUUACCAAGGCAACGAUGCAUAGCCGACCUGAGAGGGUGAUCGGCCACACUGGAACUGAGACACGGUCCAGACUCCUACGGGAGGCAGCAGUAGGGAAUCUUCCGCAAUGGGCGAAAGCCUGACGGAGCAACGCCGCGUGAGUGAUGAAGGUCUUCGGAUCGUAAAACUCUGUUAUUAGGGAAGAACAUAUGUGUAAGUAACUGUGCACAUCUUGACGGUACCUAAUCAGAAAGCCACGGCUAACUACGUG